UGGGGAAUAUUGGACAAUGGGCGAAAGCCUGAUCCAGCCAUGCCGCGUGUGUGAAGAUGGUCUUCGGAUUGUAAAGCACUUUAAGUUGGGAGGAAGGGCAGUUACCUAGUACGUGAUUGUCUUGACGUUACCGACAGAAUAAGCACCGGCUAACUCUGUGCCAGCAGCCGCGGUAAUACAGAGGGUGCAAGCGUUAAUCGGAAUUACUGGGCGUAAAGCGCGCGUAGGUGGUUUGUUAAGUUGGAUGUGAAAUCCCCGGGCUCAACCUGGGAACUGCAUUCAAAACUGGCAGGCUAGAGUAUGGUAGAGGGUGGUGGAAUUUCCUGUGUAGCGGUGAAAUGCGUAGAUAUAGGAAGGAACACCAGUGGCGAAGGCGACCACCUGGACUAAUACUGACACUGAGGUGCGAUAGCGUGGGGAGCAAAACAGGAUUAGAUACCCUGGUAGUCCACGCCGUAAACGAUGUCAACUAGCCGUUGGGAGCCUUGAGCUCUUAGUGGCGCAGCUAACGCAUUAAGUUGACCGCCUGGGGAGUACGGCCGCAAGGUUAAAAGCUCAAAUGAAUUGACGGGGUCAUAGCUGUUUCCUG
rnacentral:rRNA from 1 species